UACGAAGGGGGCUAGCGUUGCUCGGAAUCACUGGGCGUAAAGGGUGCGUAGGCGGGUCUUUAAGUCAGGGGUGAAAUCCUGGAGCUCAACUCCAGAACUGCCUUUGAUACUGGAUAUCUUGAGUUCGGGAGAGGUGAGUGGAACUCCGAGUGUAGAGGUGAAAUUCGUAGAUAUUCGGAAGAACACCAGUGGCGAAGGCGACUCACUGGCCCGAUACUGACGCUGAGGCGCGAAAGCGUGGGGAGCAAACAGG
rnacentral:rRNA from 1 species